AACGAACGCUGGCGGCAUGCCUAACACAUGCAAGUCGAACGAGACCUUCGGGUCUAGUGGCGCACGGGUGCGUAACGCGUGGGAACCUGCCCUUAGGUUCGGAAUAACUCCCCGAAAGGGGUGCUAAUACCGGAUAAUGUCUUCGGACCAAAGAUUUAUCGCCUUUGGAUGGGCCCGCGUUGGUUUAGCUAGUUGGUAGGGUAAAAGCCUACCAAGGCGACGAUCCAUAGCUGGUCUGAGAGGAUGAUCAGCCACACUGGGACUGAGACACGGCCCAGACUCCUACGGGAGGCAGCAGUGGGGAAUAUUGGACAAUGGGCGAAAGCCUGAUCCAGCAAUGCCGGGUGAGUGAUGAAGGCCUUAGGGUUGUAAAGCUCUUUUACCCGGGAUGAUAAUGACAGUACCGGGAGAAUAAGCACCGGCUAACUCCGUG
rnacentral:rRNA from 1 species